rnacentral:rRNA from 1 species
AACGUAGGGGGCAAGCGUUGCCCGGAUUCACUGGGCGUAAAGCGGGUGUAGGCGGUCCUUUAAGUCAGAUGUGAAAUCCUGCGGCUCAACCGCGGAACUGCAUCUGAUACUGGGGGACUUGAGGACGGUAGAGGUCGGUGGAAUGCCCUGUGUACCGGUGAAAUGGGCAGAUAUAGGGCGGAACACCAGUGGCGAAGGCGGCCGACUGGGCCGAUCCUGACGCUGAGACCCGAAAGCCAGGGUAGCGAACCGG